GAUGAACGCUGGCGGCGUGCAGAAUACAUGCAAGUCGAGCGAAGCGGGGACGGGUGAGUAACACGUGGAUAACCUCCUAUAAGACUGGGAUAACUUCGGGAAACCGGAGCUAAAGCGGAUACUUUAGAUGGAUCCGCGCUGCAGUAGCUAGUUGGUAAGGUAACUGCUUACCAAGACAACGAUGCCUAGCCGACCUGAGAGGGUGAUCGGCCACACUGGAACUGAGACACUGUCCAUACUCCUACGGGAGGCAGCAGUAGGGAAUCUUCCGCAAUGGGCGAGAGCCUGACGGAGCAACGCCGCGUGAGUGAUGAAGGUCUUCGGAUCGUAAAACUCUGUUAUUAGGGAAGCGGUACCUAAUCAGAAAGCCACGGCUAACUACGUCCCAGCAGCCGCGGUAAUAC
rnacentral:rRNA from 1 species